GCCCCGUUCGGGGGUAAGUAGAGUGGCGUCCGGGUGAGUAACACGUGGGUAAUCUGCCUCCGGGUGGGGAAUAACCAGUCGAAAGAUUGGCUAAUACCGCAUAAUGCAGCGGCACCUAAUGGUGAUUAGUUGUUAAAGAGGGGGACCCUUCGGGGCCUCGCGCCUGGAGAGGAGCCUGCGGCAGAUUAGCUAGUUGGUGAGGUAAUGGCUCACCAAGGCUGCGAUCUGUAGCUGGUCUGAGAGGACGGCCAGCCACACUGGCACUGACACACGGGCCAGACUCCUACGGGAGGCAGCAGUGGGGAAUUUUGGGCAAUGGGCGAAAGCCUGACCCAGCAACGCCGCGUGAGGGAGGAAAUCCUUCGGGAUGUAAACCUCACAAGUAAGGGAAGAGUGCUGCGGGCUGAAUAAUUCCGCAGUUCGACGGUACCUUACGUAAGCCACGGCUAACUACGUG
rnacentral:rRNA from 1 species